rnacentral:rRNA from 1 species
GACGAAGGUGGCAAGCGUUGUUCGGAAUCACUGGGCUUAAAGAGCACGUAGGCGGCUUACCAAGUGCUUUGUGAAAUCCCUCGGCUCAACCGAGGAAUUGCUUGGCAAACUGGUAGGCUUGAGGCAGGUAAGGGCGCGCGGAACUCUUGGUGGAGCGGUGAAAUGCGUAGAUAUCAAGAGGAACGCCGGCGGUGAAGACGGCGCGCUAGGCCUGUCCUGACGCUGAGGUGCGAAAGCCAGGGGAGCAAACGGG